rnacentral:rRNA from 1 species
UACGGAUAAGUCUGCGGACUAUCAGGUUGUAGUUAGGAUAAAUACCUGACUAGCCGACGACGGAUACGGGUAGUGAGAGCUUUAGCCCGGAGAUGAUAUCUGAGACACGAUAUCAGGCCCUACGGGGCGCAGCAGGCGCGAAAACUUCGCACUGUGCGAAAGCACGACGAGGGAAUCCCAAGUGCUGGUUCGUAAGAGUCAGCUGUUUCUUUGUCUAAAAAACAGGGAGAGUAAGAGCUGGGUAAGACGGGUGCCAGCCGCCGCGGUAAUACCUGCAGCUCAAGUAGUGGCCGCUAUUAUUGGGCCUAAAACGUCCGUAGCCGGUUCUAUAAAUGCCUGGGUAAAUCGUACGGCUUAACCGUACGAAUUCCGGGUAGACUGUUCAACUUGAGACCGGGAGAGGCUAGAGGUACUCCUGGGGUAGAGGUGUAAUUCUGUAAUCCUAGGGGGACCACCAGUGGCGAAGGCGUCUAGCUAGAACGGGUCUGACGGUGA